UAGCUCAUUUCGAUUUAUUAU
rnacentral:piRNA from 1 species